AGUACAUUAGAGAGAGUGUAGAGACUAGUGAGAGGAAAGUGUAGAGAUUUGAGAGAGAAAGAAGAGAUUAGAGUGAGAAGAGGCAUUAAUGCCAAAUAUUCUCUAAGAUUCACAAAUCUUUCCAAAGAUUAGCCAAAUCCUUCUAUAUCUUGCAAAGGAUUUUCCUCUCUCUUCUCCACCCCAUUUUCGAUCUCUCUCCCUCUCCCUCAUCUCUCACUUCACUUUCCACCAUUGUUAGCCAUUGAUGAAACCUUCGAAGCUUCACCCAAGUAUGCCAAACACAUAAAUCACUACUUAAAUCCUCCAUAAACACAUCCUAUCAACUUAAAUUCAAGAGAAUCCUUGAAGAUUGGUUUCAAGAAUAGUGAGAGAAAAUUUGGAUAAUUGGUGAAAACUUGGACACGAGCCGAGCAAGGAAGUAAGUAACUCCGCUUUGACGGGAGUUUUUGAGUAAGGUCUUCAGGCUAAGCGAGGAGUGAGAUUGGUCUGGUGCUGGUGGGGGAUCGUUAGAUGACGUAUUUGCUUUAUCGUAUUUCCUUUUUAUCGAUAAAGUCUUGAUGUGAAGUUACUUUGAAUAUGAAUCAAGUAAUAUACUCACGGUUGUGUGUCUCCAUACAUGUAACCGGUUCGCCUUUUGCUGCGACACUCUGCAUAUUAUGUUUCCUUAUGAAAAAUAAGCUAUACCUGUUUUGUUUU